rnacentral:rRNA from 1 species
AUUAUCAUCUUAGCCUGGAACUGCCAAGGAUUGGGGUUGGACUCAGCAGUGGGUGAGCUACGGGACCUGAUUAGGUCAUACAACCCAGCGGUGGUGUUUUUAUCAGAAACGAAGAAAAGAGCAGGGGCGAUGGAGAGGUUAAAAUGGAGGUUGGGUUUCAACAAUGGUGUGGCGGUGGACUGCAAAGGAAAGAGUGGUGGUCUGGCUCUCUACUGGAGGGAUCACGUAGAACUUACGGUUCGGCCGUGGAGCUAG